rnacentral:rRNA from 1 species
AUAGCGUAUAUUAAAGUUGUUGCAGUUAAAAAGCUCGUAGUUGAAUAUCUGGCCGGCGCUAUGCAUGGCUCUUGUAGUCGGUAUAGUGCUUGGUCAUCCGUACGGGAAGCUAGCUUGACCUUCACUGGUCGACUAGUGGAUCGUACACUUUACUUUGAAAAAAUUAGAGUGUUUCAGGCAGGCAAUUGCUUGGAUACUUCAGCAUGGAAUAAUGGAAUAGGACUUUGACCUAUUUGUUGGUUUCUCGAGGUCAAAGUAAUGAUUAAUAGGGAUUGUUGGGGGCAUUCGUAUUUAAUUGUCAGAGGUGAAAUUCUUGGAUUUAUUAAAGACGAACUUAUG